CUACUGAGUGUCACCCUGAGGAAAAGGACCCUUGUAGAUAGAUAAACUCCACUUUCCAACUUCAAUCACCUGGCAGAGGCUGGUGGGAGCAGAGAUUGAAGUCAGAGAAAGAUCAAGAAUCUUCAAAACAGCAGAAGUCUUAGGAGAGGACUCUCAGCCAGCAAUGACAGAACCAGACACAGAGGAGAGGGAGAGACAGAACCCCCAGGAGAGCAUGAAGGCAGUGAAGGAAGGAGGGCCUGGCAGGCAGCAGCAUGAAAAUCAGCCCAGCGCACUACUUGCUGCCUCUCCUGCCCGGGCUGAUCCUCAUCACCAGACUGCUAAUAAAACAUCAAAACUAUAUUCAGGAAAAAUAAAGACCUUGGAUACUGGCACCAAGCCUCUGUAUAUUCUACAAAAUCAGAAAGAGAAAACCUGGAAUGAUGGCUUCCACCUGGAGCGACCUCAGAAUCACCUAGGGAUCAUUAAAAGCAGAGAGAUGCUGUUAUAAGAAAAGGGUGAGGUGAAAGGAUUGGAUCUCUCAACAACUUGACAAGAUUGGAGGACUAGCUUGUGGUGGCGUCAUGGAAUUUUUGACAUCUGCUUCUCUUCUCAUGAUUUCUAUUCAUCUCCAGGGUUGUGCUUGUGAAUGUGUUACCUUACAAGACAAAAGGAACUUUAUAGAUGGAAUUAAUUUUGGUAACUGCAAAUUUUAAGAGAGAGAUUUUCCUAGAUUUGCCAAAAAAAUCCAAGUGCAAGAAUAAUUCAGAGAAAUGAAAAGAGAUAAGAAAGAAGAGAUGCUUCAGAGAGGUAAGGCAGGAGUCAGAUUUGAAGUGUGUGAGGGAUUUGACUUGAUGUUGCUAGACUUGAAUGGUUCCAUUCUUGUCUAGGAUUUGGAGAGAUUUCCUGCUGACAGCCAGCAAGAAAACAGAGACCUCAAUCCUACAACUAUAUGGAACUGAAUUCUGACAAGAACUUGAAAUAAGCCUGGAAACAGAUUCUUCUCUCAAGCCUUCAUCAGCCCUACUGAUGUUGAGUUCAGCCCAGUGAAACCCAGAGCAGAGAAUCUCAAGUGAGCUACAUGGUGCCUGGACUUGUUACCCCUAGCACUGUGAGAUGAUACAUUUUUGUUACAUUAAGUCACUCAAUUUGUGGUAAUUGGUUACAGCAAUAAUAGAAAAUUAUGAGGAUCUUACACAUUUCUUUUUAGAAUGUGAAUAUUUC
rnacentral:lncRNA from 1 species